UCGUUGAAACACCCUUCCCGUACGAUUGCCGAAGUUAAGCAAUGUCGAGCCUGGUCAGUACCUAGAUGGGUGACCACUUGGGAAUAUCAGGUACUGUA